GUGCUCGCUUCGGCAGCACUUAUACUAAAAUUGGAAUGGUACAGAGAAGAUUUUCAUGGCCCCUGAGCAAGGAUGACACGCACAUUCGUGAAGCGUUCCAGACUCAG
rnacentral:snRNA from 1 species